CAAAAAUAAUUAAUUUCAGAAUAACAUCGUUCCAACAGCAACCAGCUGUGAUUUUUAAAUUUUGUUUUUCGAAUAAAAUUAAGCAUUCUCCAAAGAGAAGACUUUCUAUUUUUUUCUUUUUUAGAACUGAAAGGAAGUCUACGAGGGACCAUAGAAUAGAAGUUUCAUCCGCGUGAGGCGACCAAGUUCCAAAGAAAUCCCUAAAAAAAGAAGUCCUCGGGCGUGGAGAAAGAAGGUAAAGGGAUCAACGAAAAAAAUAUCGUCGAGGGAUGCUGGAGAAGAGACAAAUUGCCGACGACGCGGCGUAUCGAGGCGCGAAAUUGAGCAAGAGCACGUCCAUCGUAUACAUUGCGUUCCCUGGAACGUUCUUUGACACGAUAUAAAACAUAAGGCCACAAUGAACGAAGGAAGAAAGAAUGUUCAACCCUCGAGUGACUGUUCAUCGCCAACUUCGUCACCAUUUUAACAUAAUGAAUUCAACGUAGAUUCGAUACGUUUAAAAAUAAUAAUUGCGUUUACCACCUUGACAUUCUUCAACACACGUUGCGUGAUACUUUAUUUAUUAGGAGAAGAUCUUCAUCUUCCCGCGCAUCUCAGUAUAUAAAUAACAUUUUUUAUCUGUAAAUUUAAUAUCGAAAGUUCGAAAAGUAACCGCUCGAUUCGAACAAGCCGUAGAAAUAGAUGAGGCAAUCUUUGCAAUAAUUUAAUCGCCAUGACCUCGCUUCUCGUACUAUUGAUGAGAAACAUUAUAGCGAAAAGGGAGGAGGCGACUUCGAGGGAACGCGACACAAUCGGGGUCUUCUUAUUGGUUUGUUUUGAUCGCGCUGGAAUUACAUCAGAAAUUCAAAUGACCGGUCGUAGAACGAGUAUCGGGAACGCGGAGACGUCGACAAAGAAGAAUAGGUAGGUGGACGAACGUCGAGGAAAGGGGUAGAGGAAGCAGGAUGAUGAAGCGCGUAAACAAAACACGUGUUUACCAUGCGGGGCCGCGGAUCGAUCGAUUCAAGAGCAACGAUAAGCGAUAAGAGAAGUCUGCAAACACCAUGAUGACUGUGAAAUUUUGCGCGUCGACCCCCUGCAGACCUUGGGAAAACAUUGUCCAUCGAACGAGACAAUCAAAGAGAACGAGUUGAAGUGAGAAGUGAAAAAGCAAUUUUCCCUGAAUUCAUUUUAUGGCAGCGGGACGCUGUUAAGGAAAUGAAACCCGAUGCUUUCUGCUUUCUACGAAGUUACAAAUGCUUUUUUUUUUCUUUUUACUGUUUUUAUAAGCAAAGCUUUUACGAAAUGUUUCGAAGAGCUUUUUUCUUUUAGCUCUCGAAUGAUAAAUUUUGUACAGAAAUGGUACAACAAUCUCGGGGACGGAUGAUAAAGUCGACGAAAUGCGCGAGAUAAUUUCGAAUUCCAGUGUAACAGAAGACGACGAUACCAGCCACGUGUAUCCUCGUUAAAAAUUGAUACAGAGUCAGGCAGGCGAGAUAUCCGUUUAUUUUCCUUCGUAUGGCAUUGUUCUCUCUAAAACUUGGUUUAUAUACCGACGAACAUGCAGCAUAUUUUGAUUAUACGUCCCUCCAUAAAUUAUUCCCUGACAAAUUUCUAUAAAAUUUACAAUCUCUGUUAUACGCAUGUGCGUACGUAUUUGUUUUCUUUUUUUUUUUUACUUCUAUUUCGAAAUAAUUCGAUCGAACAAAAAUACUUUAUGUCGCGAAACAUCCCUCCAGAUAAUCCCAAAGUUCUGGAUGGUUCUUCAAACGACCUUGAACGCUGCCAAAUUGCGCGAAUUACGCGAAUCUCGGCGCGAGAGCGUCACGUGAUAGAAUGUUUACCGGUAGAAAAGCUGUUUUUCAGAUAUCUUAUCGUUUUAUCGUUCUGCUCUGUGUAGCGACUACAAUCGCUACUCCCCUCUUACCCUGCUACUUUCAAGAAUCUCUGCCUCCCUUCAGCCCGUGUCAAGGAACGUCGACGUUUUAUCGCGCGAUAAAGCGUUUUCGGUUGAUCGUUUAAAGUUUAAAGAAACGAUAUUUCGUCUACGACUACGUACUGGCAUGUUGCGAGCCGCUAGUUAUCGCGUUAUCACGUAUGCUGUGACAUUCAACCGCUCAGACAGAUUGGAUCGCAUGUCACGAAACGAGCAAGCUGCGACCAUCUACGAGUUAGAUUAGGAAUUGGAAAGUUGAGAUGAUAAACGGGGCGAAUCCGGAAGAACAGAGAGCACGAGUUCCGAAAUCAAAAGAGAAACAAGAAAGCAAAAAAGGAAGAAAGAAAAGACGCGAAGGGACAAUGAGAGGCCAUUAUGCCUGCGUUGCAUCGCGAAAUGCAAUUCAGACACACCUGUAACGACGACACGGUCGCGGCCGUCGUUCGUAAAAAUAUUCAUCCAGGUCGACGAACGAAAAAUGAAUUCUUCUGCGACGAUCGAGGCACCGAAGACGGGAAUUUCCAUACGGGUUCCUGGAUGCAUCGAGUAAAACACGGUACGAACAUGAUACAGACACUGCAACGCGGAGGGAUGUACACAAUGUUAACGGUUUACGUGCAACUCUGGAUCGCCACGGGUCAUAACUUUGAAUCGGAGGAGCGCAGGUGUCGCCGGAAGUCGUUUUACGAGCGAACGGAAACGUAAAUCGGAGUACGACCUUCGUCACGGGCCGGAGGAAACUGAAUACACGCUACACAUGACGGUGCCCAUCGAACAGUACCUAUUAUUUAUGCGUCUCGAUAAAUUUUUACUAGAAGCUUCUGUGACAUAACCAAAGUUAUAUAGAAAAAAAGUGACAUUUACGAUGCAAAAAGUGUUAUUUUAUUUUUACUAAAAAUUAGAAUUUCAAUUCUCGCAUCUUUUAUUCAUAUUGGAAGAAAGAGUUUCAAGUAUCUGUGUAACGUAGUAUUUACGGAUAUUAUUCCACACAGAAAUAUGGCAGCAUUUUUACGUAAUAAUAAAAGAAGAUCAGGUUCGAAUGUAAACAAGCUAAUUUGCCUAUGGUAUACAAAAGUGUACUUGAUUUUUAAAUUAAAAGCAUCUAAAUUACAAAAUACCAUUCGUGUACGAUAUUUCAUUUCACUAUCACAUGUAUCCAAAAG
rnacentral:lncRNA from 1 species